ACUUACAUAGUUUAUAAGAACAGUGACCUUUCUCGUCAUCAGUCCCAUAAGAUUGGGUGUAGGUU
rnacentral:tRNA from 1 species